GCAAGUAGAACGCUGAAGAGAGGAGCUUGCUCUUCUUGGAUGAGUUGCGAACGGGUGAGUAACGCGUAGGUAACCUGCCUUGUAGCGGGGGAUAACUAUUGGAAACGAUAGCUAAUACCGCAUAACAAUGGAUGACACAUGUCAUUUAUUUGAAAGGGGCAAUUGCUCCACUACAAGAUGGACCUGCGUUGUAUUAGCUAGUAGGUGAGGUAAUGGCUCACCUAGGCGACGAUACAUAGCCGACCUGAGAGGGUGAUCGGCCACACUGGGACUGAGACACGGCCCAGACUCCUACGGGAGGCAGCAGUAGGGAAUCUUCGGCAAUGGGGGCAACCCUGACCGAGCAACGCCGCGUGAGUGAAGAAGGUUUUCGGAUCGUAAAGCUCUGUUGUAAGUCAAGAACGGGUGUGAGAGUGGAAAGUUCACACUGUGACGGUAGCUUACCAGAAAGGGACGGCUAACUACGUGCCAGCAGCCGCGGUAAUACGUAGGUCCCGAGCGUUGUCCGGAUUUAUUGGGCGUAAAGCGAGCGCAGGCGGUUUGAUAAGUCUGAAGUUAAAGGCUGUGGCUCAACCAUAGUUCGCUUUGGAAACUGUCAAACUUGAGUGCAGAAGGGGAGAGUGGAAUUCCAUGUGUAGCGGUGAAAUGCGUAGAUAUAUGGAGGAACACCGGUGGCGAAAGCGGCUCUCUGGUCUGUAACUGACGCUGAGGCUCGAAAGCGUGGGGAGCGAACAGGAUUAGAUACCCUGGUAGUCCACGCCGUAAACGAUGAGUGCUAGGUGUUGGAUCCUUUCCGGGAUUCAGUGCCGCAGCUAACGCAUUAAGCACUCCGCCUGGGGAGUACGACCGCAAGGUUGAAACUCAAAGGAAUUGACGGGGGCCCGCACAAGCGGUGGAGCAUGUGGUUUAAUUCGAAGCAACGCGAAGAACCUUACCAGGUCUUGACAUCCCGAUGCUAUUUCUAGAGAUAGAAAGUUACUUCGGUACAUCGGUGACAGGUGGUGCAUGGUUGUCGUCAGCUCGUGUCGUGAGAUGUUGGGUUAAGUCCCGCAACGAGCGCAACCCCUAUUGUUAGUUGCCAUCAUUCAGUUGGGCACUCUAGCGAGACUGCCGGUAAUAAACCGGAGGAAGGUGGGGAUGACGUCAAAUCAUCAUGCCCCUUAUGACCUGGGCUACACACGUGCUACAAUGGUUGGUACAACGAGUUGCGAGUCGGUGACGGCGAGCUAAUCUCUUAAAGCCAAUCUCAGUUCGGAUUGUAGGCUGCAACUCGCCUACAUGAAGUCGGAAUCGCUAGUAAUCGCGGAUCAGCACGCCGCGGUGAAUACGUUCCCGGGCCUUGUACACACCGCCCGUCAC
rnacentral:rRNA from 1 species